rnacentral:lncRNA from 1 species
GAAUCUUUCCUUCAAUACAUGCACCGAAAGCACGAUCUCUAGCAAAACCCACAUUUGUUAGUCUGAGAACGUAAUCCCAUUUGAGGAGACUUUGCAAAGUGAUCAUAUUGACAUGGGCUAGCCGACGAUGCCAAAGCCAUCCCACAUCAACUUUAGCCAUUAGGCAAGUUCCGGUCCGUGUGGGUUGCUUUGAAAAGUUAACCACAUAGAGACCGUUCUCGACAUGCCCAACAAAGGCUAAUUUAAGAGUCUUGCUCC